UCCAUUUCUCUGGGUACCUCCUGCUCAGUGUGAAGUAAAAGAAUUUUUAGGUACCACUGAAAACACUGAGUGGGGUCAUCAGAAUACGGGAUAAAAAAGAUUUAGUAUUUAAUUUUCCUCUAGCCCGAAAUGGUGGAUGUAAUUUUUGUAAGUGAUAAAACCUAGACAGAGGAAAUAGCUCUCUGCUGUCUAUACACCAAAGGCAUCAAGCACUCAUGCUGUAGUCAGUCAGUUCCUGGUCUUGGCUUCAGUCACUCAUCAAAUGUUAGAAAUCACUGAUAGACAGAGAUGUUAUAUGGAGAAGUGUUACUUGUCUUGGAAACCAUUGGAGCAUUGAGGUUUACUGUCCAGUGUUAAAGAUCUGGUUUUCUGGAUUGUUAAACCGCUGUGACAAUUGGCAGGUUCUCUUUCUACCCAAGAUAAAACUAUGUCCUCAAGAGUGUUGUUAUAAUCUAAAUCUGUAUUUGCUUCUAUUUUUAUAUGAUUAAUACUGAUGUAGAUGCUAGGAGUUUGUAAUGCUAAACGGUGGGAGGUAGCUGUCUUCUAGCCUGAGUGAGUCCCAUCUGUUUUCUUCUAGGUUAGUGUAAAUUGUCUUUUUACUUAGUCACUUGGAAAAAACCAUGCUGUAUUGCUUGUCUGCAGAAAGCAUUCCAGCUUCCUGAUGACAUCUUGUCCAUGAAGUAGCGCUCUCAGGAUGUGCAAGAAACUGGAAUGCAACCAAAACAGAAUGUUAACCCAAGGAAGCACAAAGCAAGUGACUCCUGCUCCAGCUGUGGGAUCCUGGGAGCAGCACUGACCAGGUGUGAUUGAGCAUUGCUCGAGACAGAUGUACCUGUUCUGUGGCAAACACAGACUUGCACCCGGAUUUCUGCCUCCCCAGAGUGAGAUUUUGCUUCCUACCUGUGGUCAGCUCUGAAAAAGGAGUGGAACUGUGAUAUCAUCAGAAGUUUCUUUCCAAGAUGCCAAGGGAAGAAAACUACUUAUCAGCACUGAACCUUUCAUGAGGAUUCUACAAAAGUAAUGACAUAUCUACUGGCCUUUAUACCCGCCUCAGUGCAAUAGGAGAUAAACACAGUGCCCUUGAAAUUAGUUGGUAGUUUCACCAUCAAAACUGGGGACUAAAGUAGUUAAUCUACUGCCAUGGACACUAAAUCCAGCAGAAGACCAAAAAAGAGGAAAAAAAAAACCCUGUAAUUUUGAUUGAGAAAUCAUUUCUGUGUAUAAAGAGCUUGUUACUAAGAAAUUACUCCUUUUUCUUUUCUGAUCUUGGAUACUUAUUUGAAUGUUUUUAUUUAUCAGGCAGAAUUUAACACCAUUUAAGUUGUUGGAUUUCUACUCUCCUGGGAGUAAAAACUGAGACUUUGCCUUACAGACAACUGCAAAAGUAAUGGUUUUAUUUUUAUUUACUUUCUUCUUUCAGUUUAAUAACCACCUUAGGUAAGAACUCGUGGAGGAAAAAGGUUUUUAACAAGUGUGUACAAGAGGGAAGGACCCAAGAGAAGAGAAGGAUGGAGAAUACCAGUUCUAUACUUUCAAAAAAUGUGCAGAAGACUUGAAUCUAGUUUAGUAACCGGUCUUCAUGUAAGCACUUGCUCAGUUCUGAAGGCAGACAAAAAAAUCAGAUCUAAUGACUGAGAAUCUACAGAAACAGUGAGGGAGGAUCUACUCAGCAAGUUCUUGAAUUUUUAAGAAAUGUUCUGUUCUUCCAUUUCCAGCCCACAUGCCAGACGCAUACCUCCCUUCAGGGUGAAAAAGUGCUUGCCCUUUUUGAGUAUGACUAAGCAGAGGGCUGUUUUAUAAACUGGAAAGUUCUUACAGAAGCCAAUGCACAUGUCUGGAGCACAGUGUUUGCACUUGGGAGGAGGGUAAACAGCGCUUUGGUUUCUAAGCUUUCUGUACCUCAAAGUAUAUCAGUUGAGCUGAGAGCUGGUCAGCUGUAGUGACAAAAGCUUGCUCUGUCAGAUGAUUUAAUGAAAUGCAUUGAGAAUGGUGCUCCCUGAUAUGCCAGCCCAUGCUGUUGUGCUCAGACUCAGAAGGCUGCAGCAGCCAUGAAGAGCUGGGUGCUUCCCCUGUAACCUCACACUUGUUGCACCCCAGGGUACUGCAAUGAGCUGUGGUGCUGCAAAGGCUCCUUGGGUGGGGUUAUGUCUUGUUUUGUUUUGUUAGGGCUUUUUUCCCUGA